UACGAAGGGGGCUAGCGUUGCUCGGAAUCACUGGGCGUAAAGGGUGCGUAGGCCGGUCUUUAAGUCAGGGGUGAAAUCCUGGAGCUCAACUCCAGAACUGCCUUUGAUACUGAGGAUCUUGAGUACGGGAGAGGUGAGUGGAACUGCGAGUGUAGAGGUGAAAUUCGUAGAUAUUCGCAAGAACACCAGUGGCGAAGGCGGCUCACUGGCCCGUAACUGACGCUGAGGCACGAAAGCGUGGGGAGCAAACAGG
rnacentral:rRNA from 1 species